rnacentral:rRNA from 1 species
CCUACGGGGGGCAGCAGUGGGGAAUAUUGCACAAUGGGGGAAACCCUGAUGCAGCAACGCCGCGUGAGCGAAGAAGGCCUUAGGGUUGUAAAGCUCUUUUACCAGGGAUGAUAAUGACAGUACCUGGAGAAUAAGCUCCGGCUAACUCCGUGCCAGCAGCCGCGGUAAUACGUAGGGGGCUAGCGUUAUCCGGAAUUACUGGGCGUAAAGGGUGCGUAGGCGGCCCUUCAAGUCAGAGGUGAAAGGCUACGGCUCAACCGUAGUAAGCCUUUGAAACUGUAGGGCUUGAGUGCAGGAGAGGAGAGUGGAAUUCCCAGUGUAGCGGUGAAAUGCGUAGAUAUUGGGAGGAACACCAGUUGCGAAGGCGGCUCUCUGGACUGUAACUGACGCUGAGGCACGAAAGCGUGGGGAGCGAACAGGAUUAGAUACCCUUGUAGUC